rnacentral:lncRNA from 1 species
AAAUUUUAUUAUUGGAAAUAAGAUUUCACAUGAAGAGAUGCUAUGAGGUUAAACGAAGAUGAGUAUAUGUAUAGAAAUAUAUAUAUACUUAGUAAUGUGCUAUAUAUAUUUAAGCAAGAAGAAUGAUGAAUUAAGUUAAUGAUAUAAUGAUCAAGAUUAAAACUAUGUUAGUAAUUAACAUAGCUUGAGUGUUGGCCUUGAUUGGCAAAUAAGAAUUUGAAUAAGUAUAAAGUCGUUAGUUAAUACAAUUAGUAAUGAGAAUGGAGUAAUUUAAAACUCAAAAUUUGAGUUAGAGAUAGAAUUUUGAAGCAUGGACUGUUCGAUUGCGUCCAAAACGUCGAGUUUAGUCAGAAUGGACAGUAAGCACAAAAUGUGUAAAGGUUGACUUUUGGUCCAAGUCAACAGUUAACUUUUAUGGAGAAAAGUCAAAAUUAAUGUGAGAAGUGAAAUAUGUUAUGAUUAUGUGAAUUAUGGAUAUGAGUAAAUAAAUAUACAUUAUAUAAUGUGAAUACAUUUAUUUUGUAUAUAAGGGUGGAGUAAGAAUUAAGUUAUGUAACCUAAUAUAUAUAUUAGGUGUGGUGAUUAAAUAACCUGAGAGGUUAUAAUAUGGGAGAAUAUUAGUAUAUAAAUGUAUAUACUGACAUUAAGAGAUUUAUUUUAUAUAUCUCCAAUAAUUAAUUUUAUAACCAAGUAUAAUUUGGUUUAUGAAAUUAAAAGGGCAUGAGUAAGGAAUUUAUUUUCUAGAGUGAGAGAUGUAAAC